rnacentral:rRNA from 1 species
AAUCAACGCUGGCGGCGUGCCUAAUACAUGCAAGUCGAACGCGAAAGUCCCGCAAGGGGCAAGUAGAGUGGCAAACGAGUGAGUAACGCGUGGGCGACCUACCUUCGAGUGGGGGAUAACCUUCCGAAAGGAGGGCUAAUACCGCAUGACAUCCCGUGUUUGGAUACACGGACAUCAAAGUCGGGGAUCGCAAGACCUGACGCUUGGAGAGGGGCCUGCGUCCGAUUAGCUAGUUGGUGGGGUAACGGCCCACCAAGGCUUCGAUCGGUAUCCGGCCUGAGAGGGCGGACGGACACACUGGGACUGAGACACGGCCCAGACUCCUACGGGAGGCAGCAGUAGGGAAUUGUUCGCAAUGGGCGCAAGCCUGACGACGCAACGCCGCGUGGAGGAUGAAGACCUUCGGGUCGUAAACUCCUUUCGACCGAGAUGAACACUCACCGACCUAAUACGUCGGUGAGCUGACAGUAUCGAGGGAAGAAGCCCCGGCUAACUCCGUGC